AUGCUUAGAAUGUUAAACUCAAAUCACUAUGCCCUUAAUGUUUUUUCCCAGACUGGUUUGCUAGCUACCAAAGACCAAGGAUUUAUUGCAGAAAUUGAAUCCUUAAUGCAUGCACUUGAUGGGGAAGAGAUGCAAAUGGAAGAACCAACAAAGAAAAAUGCAGAACUUGAAAAGGCUGUUCAACAAAAAAAUCAAGAGGUAUUCAUGCAUAUUUGGAGCAUUGAGUAA